rnacentral:sRNA from 1 species
UCGCAGAGCCGCGACGUUCUUGCGGGUU